ensembl:lncRNA
CCCCACCCCUACCCAAAAAAGGAAAAACAUAUAGUGUGAGUGGACAGAAAUGACAUUAGUGUUUUAGGACACAUUUCUUUGAGAAUAUCUGGUGGGGGUGGGAGACUGUACGCAGCUUAUUGGCUAUUUGUAGAUUAUACACAAGUGUGCGUCUCGUGCUUGUGUGUGGGUCUGUGUGAGUGUUUGUGUGUGUUAUAUAAACUGUCGGUCCCUCACGUGGAGGUGGACUACCUGAACUGUAGGGCUUCCUUUGCAAUAUGCAGUACAGGUAAUAUGAGAAGCGGUUUGGCUCACCCUCUUGGGCUAAUAAACAUAUUUCUGUAUACAUUUACAUCUAUUGAUCAAACAUUGAUACCAGUUUAUAUAUUGCCCCUAUUGGAAGGAGUGCGUGGCAUUUUGUGCCUAGCGCUUUAGUGAGUUUCAAAUGGUAGCAGCUGAAAUAGAUUAAGCCUACCUGAAAAUUCUGCGUUCCGUCUCUGGCCUAUUUCAAUGGUGGAACAGGGAUGUGAUGAGGACUAUUGGUCAGAAACUUCAUACCGACUGCAUUCGUCAGAGAGGGGUCCUCGUAUUAUGGUAGUAUCCAUCUGGACAUUGACAGUCUGUAGUCUUGGGGGAACAGUCUGUAGUCUUGGGGGAACAGUAUGUAGUUGUGCAUUUGAAGAGGCAAAGUCCGUAACAGAUUGGCUACAGUGUAAGGUACUGCUGGGAUCUAUUUUUAUCACGUUUCUAUUGCUCUGCCAUGCAGUUUAGUUGGUGUUAGUGUCAUUCUCUGCUUUAUGGAAUAGCCUAGACAUGGUCAACCAGAUAGGCAGGGCAGUACAGUCACUUGUUUAGCCCAGACAAACACAGGACGAGCAAUGCACUGUGAAAAUGAGUCCAAUCUUCAGUUUUAGAAACAUUUUAAUAAUGUCUGCUCAACAAUCUCACUCCACAAUACCACAUAUUUAUAGUGAAACCAAGACCAGGCAAUAGUUGCUUCCAAAUCUAGUAUCGGUGAGAUAUUCUAGCAUUAUUGUGUGACUAUGUCGCAGUCUAUUACAGUCAGCCUAAAUUAUAUUUAUGUAAUAAAUGAAUAAAUGCACUAUCGACUGUAGAUGUUUUUCUAAAGUACAUCCUGAGAGGGAUUGAAUGGGAACAUGACAUUGAUUAUGGUGAGGUAUACUGCAGUCCUCUUGGCCUUCCUCUGCCCAAUGGUUGACCUCACUCAAACCAGUGUUUCGCAAACUUGACGUAGAAGCAGAGGGUUAGCAUUAUUAACAGCUUAACGUUAUAUAAAUGGGUGUUUUGUCGGAAGUCUCUCCCUGGCCUUACUUAUUAUAGCUCUCUUUAGUUCCUUAUUGUACCAGUGGCGGAUGUCUUAUCGUUGUGUUCAAUCAAGUCAGUUAAAAAGUAGGGAAAACAUGCAAUGCAACCCUGAAAUACACCCCCUUGGUUUAUAUAUAUACAGUCAAGAAAGAGUUUGUAAUUUAUGUUUGUAAGAUUCUUAUAACAAUGUAUUUUUCAACUAUACAAUAUAUUCACAGGUAUAGAAUUACGUAGAAUUAAGCCUUCAGCUUUUUGUUCAGUGUUUUAACAGUCAUUUUCUUAUAUCUCACGUUUUUUAUUUAGUGUACAGACACAGGGUCUGCUUCGUUGUCAGUUUUACAGUGUGUUUGAAUCAUCUGUGUGCUUGUGUUUUCCAGGGUUUUACUUUACCCUUAUUUUCCUUGCAACCAUUGUGAACUGGUGUAUUUGUGACUGGGUUUUUUUUUCAGUCAGUGGGCAUAGAGAGGAUAGAGAGCCAUCACAGCUUGCCAGAAGCGCAUAUCUUCUGGACGGACACAUUACAAAACCUCUUUUCAAACAGGAGAUCCAUUCAGAAAGACAUAUUUUGAGGAGACACAUAACUUGAGCGGUGAUAAGGCUUUCGUAUUAGCUGAGGGUGAUGUUUCUGGCGCCUGUCAUAUUCACUGUGAUGUUAUUGAGAGUUCUCCUUUUUAACGCCACACCGCAUGUGAUGUAAUCGGCAACUGGUACAGCUCCCGUGACUUAGCGGGCUUAUAACUGCUCACGCUGUUAAUCUCACAGCUCCCGGUGACUCUACGUUAGUGUCCUCACAAUUGUUUGAUUCACUCACGGUAACUUGCAGUAACUCGGAUAUUAACAGACAGUGUGCUUACUGGCAUACAACAUAUAGGUGAAAUCCAACAACAUGAUAUCAGUUGAAUCUAAUGGAUAUACUGUAUAAUACACGUUUUUCUUCGUCAACAACUUUAACAUAGAUAAGAGAAACAUUUUGAGAUACACAGAACUGCAGCUAAAUGAAUAUGCUUUGAGGGAUAUAAGGAGUAUGCCUGUCUAUCAAGUGCCUAUUUGUACAUUACUAAAUCGUCAUAAAGUAGUUUUGCUCUUCUACAGUGCAUUUCCCAAAUAUAUACAGUAUAUACACAUGAUAAUCUAUACACAAAUGAUAACAAUAUUUAUACUACUAUAACAAAAAUGUUGGUCACCCUCAACAUACUGCAUCCUAAGAAAGCCCUUUACAAAUAUCUUUAUCCACCUCAAAUCAUCUAUUUAUAUAAGAUAGAUUUGUGUUUUUAUUUCCUGCUGUCCUACAUAGUUUUGUAACUAAUACAUAUGAGAAAACAGCCAAGCUAAACAACUGGAGUUCAUCAACUGUAAUAAAGAUUUGCUUUAAGGGUGUUUCCCAAACUCCUCUUUAGUAAGACAAUAAGUUAGCAUGUAUAGUAGUUUGAUAUAGUAGUUCUCAUCCUCAUGUUUGCCAUUACACCCAGAAAGCCCUGUUCGGUUUGUCUAAAUAUAAAAACGAUGUCAUCCAAAAGAUUUCACAUGGUUUUCUGUAGUUUUCCCGGGUUUUUAAGCACACCUGCAACUGUCAUGACUUCUGGCUUAUCAGCGCUAUCAGUCUUCUGAACCGUCAUGAUUACAUUUGGGGGGUGGAUUUUGUUGUAAAAAUAGAAGAAGAAAAAUCUAAAAAUAAAAGGAUAAUAUUGAUUUUCUUGCCUUCCACGUUUUGUGAAAAUGCCUAACAUAAAGUCAAAGGUUGUCCGUGGACAUAUCCUAACCGUUCUGAGAGAAUACACUGAUACCGAUCUCACUUCAGACACCUCAGUCAGUUGAGCGCAGUACCUGCAUUCACUCUCUGGUUGUAGUUCAUAUAGACGGAUUGCGUGUAUUCUUUUCUUUCUGCUGCGCAGGUUGGGCGGUGGUAGGCUAAUGAUGCUUCUAAACCCCUGCAUCCGGCCACAUGUGCACCUAUAGCACUGUACAUGAUCAGUGACACAAGGGCAAUGCCAGAUUUGAUUUAGCUACUCCAGUCUAGCCUGAGUACCAGACUCUUUAGCGAAAGUUCCUUGCCACUCUUUGUCAUUGCUACACGAAAUGGAGUACAAGGAGUGGAAGGUAAGCUGAACAGAAUGGGGCUUUGGCUAACUCCAGCCUACAACACCACAGCAAUACCAGUUAGUAGUGUAAUCAAGUUUAACUUGAAGAGUAGCAAGCAUUUGUCUCAGUGUUAACUAUAACUUAAAGUGUCCUUGGAACUCAGAAUCAGACCGCUACCCCGCCAUUAGACCAUCUUCAGCAUUCUUGUCAUCAACAUGGUUGUAUUUGAGUGUUUCUCUAGACAGGGGUCAGCAAAAGUGGCUGUUUUUUGCCCCAAAAACAUUUUGGGUAAAAAAAAUGUAGGAGUUGUUUUAUUCAAUUCUUUUAUACUAUAUAAUCACUUAGAAUUCAGAAAAACAAUUCCAGUGUUCCCACAAAUUAAAUAAUAGACAAUGUAUGAGUGUAUAUUAAUUUAAUCAACUGAUGAAAUCAUUGGUAUUCUCAAAUACAAACAAUUUUGGGGUUAAAUUGUGGUUAAUGUCUCUGUGUCUUGAAUUUAUAGGGAAAGUUGUUAUAUUAGUACCCAAUAUAUGUAGCCGGUUAAACUACAAGAAUUAUAAUCAACAACAAGAAUUCUUAUUGGGCUAAGAGGUGAAAAGUGUUGGAGUCUCUAUUAAAAACGACAGAUUUAAGGAUCUGGAUUCAGUCCACCAACACUAUUUGCUGCUCAACUCCAUUGCAAUUUGUGGUAUUGAGUUUUCUCGGCUAUAUAACACAUAGCAUAUCAGAAAUAUGCACAUUCCUGUAAAGUCUAGAACAUUCCCUGUACCCCUCGUUGUCUGACAUCAGUCUAUAUGACUAUGUUGUCGACGAUUUAUGACUCCAAAAGAUGACAAGAUCCCAACCCCCUUACUAGAAAACCAGAUCAAUUACUUCUUUUUACAAUUUGCUGGUCUGCUGGUUAUUUGUCAUGUGACAUCUUCCCCUCUAAAUUGGUUUAUGUUUAGCUGAAUUUCUGUAAUUAUCCCACUCAUGCUGAUGUUUAUUUUAGUGUCACUGGCUUGCUGAACUUUAUGAUUACAGAUCAUCAGUCUCAGAAAAGCAUUGCUUAGCAUCUCAGGCAUUGAUGAUCCGGCGAACAUGUCCCUGCAUACAGGACGAUGGCCUGCUUUCUGGCACGGUGUGUGCUCUUUCUUCUGGAAAUGUCCAAAUAUAGGCUGCCAAUCGGAUAGUGUUUCAUAUGCAAUAUCUCAAACUCUCCCAUAAAUGUUGUCACUUCGAUAUGGAGAACACUGAGUCAUCCAGAAGCUGUAGAGUUUCAAAGGUGCUGAAUAAAAGAGCCUCUACCGUAGCUUGCUUAGCACCUUGGAUAAUCGUCUUGGGGCUUUCAGCAGGUCUCUUGCACUUCUCACAUGAAAAACAUCACGUAUGUCUAUGGUGAGACUAAGCAACAUGCACUGCAUUUGUGUAAACAAUAUGUUGUUGGUUUAUUUUCUUUUUACACCUAAAAUGUUCGGUGAACACUUUUCUGUUGACUUUCUGCUGUGUUCCACAUACUUGUGGUCUGAAUCAGCAUGCAAUCAUAUAUAAUUUGUUUGGACAUGCAGAGCUUCCAUUACAAUACAUUGCUUUGUGUUGUUUUUGAAGGUGUUGUGGUUGUAAUUAUAUUUACCUGUUGUGAUAUGGAACCAAGCAAACCAUUAGGGAUCUAUUGAACAUGUUGGAUGACAUAUGUUUGUUUCCAUAAACACCAAAGAAUGAUAGGAAUAUCACGAUGUCUGAGUUAUAAGCAGAGAGAACAUUAUCUGUUAUGGACGCGAUAACAACAAUUACCAAGAUGUACUUUCCUGUACAUUUGUAUGCGUUCAAAUCUGGCUAACGUUAUAUAUUUCUUUUGAUACUCAAGACAGGGUGCUUGUGAAAAUGCGUUUCUGCGUUUUGUCCUCUGAUCACUAUUGGUAGGCUGUAGUUUAGUAGUUGUGUUUAUGUGCCUAAUGUAGAGCAAAAUAGCUUUUCUAAAGAAAUUCAGCAAAACCUGAAAAAUAAUAAUAAAUCUGACACGUAGUAGCUGUGAUGUAAAACUAUAGCAUGGUAUAACAUGUAUAAGAUUGUAAAUGUUUCAUUGUCCCCUGCUUAAAAGUAAUACACAAUAUCCAUUAUUAUUCUUUCUGGAUACUUAGCCAAUUGAUUUAGGCCUUUCCAAUACACAUUUGUCUUUUAUUUGCUACAAGUGUCUGUUAUUCCAGCUUUUAGUAAUGAAUUUCUUCCUUCAAUAAUGUUGAUUUCAAAGCUUUUUUCUCAGAUUAACAAUAUGCACUGGAUUGGUGGAAAAUUGAAUAAAAAAUUUGGUGCCAUGCACAAUUUAUCUAUUUGCCAGACAAAAAAAAUAACAGUUGCAAAAUGGUUUUUUAAACAUUGAAAGAUUAGUAGUGAAUUUAUAACGUUUCUUUUCUUAUUUUGAGAUGGACCAAGAUGUUAGUUGCUGUUGCACAUAUUUGUUUAUUGGUUUUGCGAUGUGUUGAUGCCAUUAGAUAAGAGUAGAAAGAUGUAUUUUGCCAUUGCCCAAAACAAUCAAUCAAAUUAACGCUAAGAUGUCUAAAUCUGAUGUAAGGGCUCAUUUUUGUACCCCAAUAUCAUAUGAAAAGUUGAUGCCUAACCUAGAGCCUGCUAAAGAUAUUUUUUCCCAGAGAGCAUUAAACCCAAUAACCAGCUGACAUUUGAUAAAUAACAACAGCAAAAACAACCAAACAGUGAAAUAAUAAUAAUAUUAGUUGAGUUGUAUUUAAGCCCCUUUGAAGUCUUUGUAAUUUUAUUUUUAAGUCAUCACUGUAUGACUAUUACAUCACUGUGUGCUAAAAGAUAAUAACUCCAAAGUAUAUUUUAAUAAUGUAUUUCCCUGAGCCUAGUAUGGCUCUUAAAAUGCUUUUGGAAACAAAUUGGAGGAUAUUUAUAAGGUCUAGCACCACAUACCCGCUUAUCCAGGAGAACAAUCAUUGGUCAAUUGUAAUCAGAUUGAGAUGUCAUGAUGUAGGACAAAAGAUCCAUCCCACCUGACUAGGCAUUUGUUUUAAACAGCUCUUAAAAGGCAUUAUCAUAACUUUCAAUGACAAAGUGUGGAAAUAUACUUUUUUUAACACAGAAAAAAAAAAAACAUUUUAAAUGCACUGCCCCUUUUAAAAUCUUGAUGAUGUGGACCAAAUUUCCUAUCAGUUGGUGGCAUACAUGAUGUUGAUUACUACAUUAUAUAUUUUUUGUAAUAUGAAUUGUUCAUAUCAAAGAAGAAUGUAACCCCAUGGCAAAUUUGUAUUUGGUAAUAUUUCACUUAUUGGUGAGGUAUGACAUAGUUCAAAGCUUUUUUCAAGCUGGAUGUGUGAAAUAUGAAAUGAAUAUGAUAAGUUAUUUGGGUCAUGCUUCUUUAGUGUGGUGGUGGCAGAAAGUCAUUGUCUCCCUUGGACAUUGUAAGAUCCAAUCAGUGCUGAAUCAGAAAUUCUGUGUGCUCAUGUGUAGAUUUAUGUUACAGAAAGCGUAGCUUUUUAAUUAGACAUUCAAGCUUUUUGCUGCCAUAUCUUAUAGGUGUUUAUGAAAAAAUGCACCUGCAGUGAAAUAUGAGGUGCACUUAUAUAUAAAUGUAUUUAAUUAAGAAUCUUUUGUUAGGUUGUGUUGCCUGCUUUGGCUUGCGAUUUCAUUAUCUUCCUGAUCAAAUACUCCAUAUAUAUAUAUAUAUUACAGUAAUGAACUUGGCAGAAGUGGAGCUGUUGUAGUAAAGGUAGUUAACAUCACAAAUAAGCAACCCUGACUUAUAUGCUGCAGUAAUGUUGUUUUUUCAGUUUGUUUCCUUUUAUUUGUGCUCCAAGUUUGGUUUGUAUUUUUAUUACUGUUAUGAAACAACCUUGUUUGAAUUGUAUGACUGCUGUUUUGAAAUAGGUGAUAAGGGUUUUUUAAAUGUAUGUACAAGGAAGUUUUAUACUUGGACUUGUCAAACACUGGACUGGAGUGAGUUAUCCAACAUUUCCAAGUUGAGAGCUAUUAUAUGAGAGACAUGAACCGACUGCACAGAAUACAGCUUUAUCAAACCCAUUUCCCAACCAAUGGUGUGGGCCCACCCUACUGGAGAAGGAACUGUGACAAAAAAUGCCUAGACUUUUCCUGUCUUUAUUGGGGGGCUCAUGAGCUUUUAGUGAAAAUUUUAAAGUAUAUUUGCACCAUUUUAAUUCAGUUCAAUACGGUGCUCAAUAGAUCAACUUUGUAAUUUUUUUUACAUUUCUGGACCUUAUAAAAUCUGGCCUUCACUAUAAAAUAAUGUUUUCAAAAUUCCCUAUUCUAACAAAAGACUGAUAAAGAUAGUAGGCCUAUUUGCUAAAAUAUCAAAAGGGAUACCACUUGAUAGUAAUUUACUAAAGAAACAAAACCACUCGGUAUAUGUUGUCUUUCCAUCUCAACCAAACAUCACGGUUGUGCCCUGCAUUGACCUUAACGUCUGUCUUUUGCGAAGCCAACUACCACUUAUCAAACCAGAAAAGAUAUUUGCACUAAACAUAUUUUGGUCUUUGUUGAUGAAAAGCAAUACAACACAAAACAAUUAACCUAUUCUUCAAUUCAAAGUAUCUGAAAUAACGGAGCUCUCUGUGCACAGGGGUAAUGCUGUGUAAAAAGGUUAUAUUUGAAAAGUUUGUUUUUUAACAUUUUGUGUAAAGGUACGGAAUUGAAACGUGUUGCCUUGGCAAUGCACAUUAUGAACUUGGACACAUACAUAUUGUUUUUUUUAUUUUAAUUUUUUUAGAGUUGACGUGUUUGACCAAUCAGAAGUGUCCGAGUCUGGGGCGCAUAGUCGAUAUGUUUCCUCUUGUGAUUGUUUUGAACAAAAUUUAACGAAUCUUACAAGCCCUAAGUGAGGGACAGGAAGGAGUUGGUAGUCACAAGAUGUCCCACAAACAUGCACUCAUUGUAAAAUGUCCUCAUCAAAAAUAUGGUGGUAACUGAACAAAAGGUAAUAAGUAUGUUUUGUAGACAAUAUUUUCAUUCAAAUGAUGCCAACAUACAAAAUUAAACUUCCUUCAUGAUAAAACGUAUUUUUCUCGUCACUGACUUACUCAUUUUUGUUUAAAAACAAUCGUUGAAGUCAAAUCUCGGUGCACACACCUUUUAAAGACAAAAAGAUUACAACAUGUCUGAAGAUAAACACUGAUGGACGGGAACUGCACCUUUCUUUGUAAAUUCUAACACCAGUUUAGCUAUCCAAAGAAUCAAAUUCCACCCAAAUAUAUUAUUAUUGUUGUUAUUCAUAAUUUCCCAUAAGGAAAAAGGCAGCCAGAGUAAAAGGGUGAUAUCAUCUUGGAGUCUUAAAAAUCAUCAAUAACUUACAAUAGCAGUCAUGACAAGUAUGAUUUUUGGUAUCUGGAAAUAGUAGCUUUCCUGUUAUUACCGCUUUGUGGUGUUGUUAAGAGGUGUUGCAGUUUGUCUAAAUAUGUUACGUGUUAGAGGAAGCAUAAGUAUGUGCCUUCUUGUAAUCUCCUUGGUGAGCUUGUUAUUAUUGAGAAGCUGAAGCCAGCCAAUUGUGUUUGCACUAAAACCAAAUUGCUUUUGUGAUGUAGGCUAUUUAAGCAAGCUUGUUACGUCACUUUAACCGUACAGUAUGCAUGAGGGUGAAAUUGGUAAGUUCUAGGGUUGAGCUCCCUCCUGUCUGUUGAUCUGUUAACUAGUGCAGCUUAUGGAAUCCUCUGAAUAUAUCUGAGCUCCGUACUGUGUUCAGUUUUUAAAUCCAUCUCAUUCAUUAUAUCCCCCAAGCACGCUCCACAGUAAAUAGUCUCUGUGGGCUAUCCAUUCUCUAAAAGAUAAGCAAAUAACAUAACUCGAGUCCACCUUUUUAUGGUCACAUGCCACAGCUGAACCGCUGCAUUACUGUAGUAAGAGAUAUUCAACCGUUUGUCUCAAUCCACGGGGAUGCAUGAGUACAAGAGGUCGCCUCAAGACUUGGUCUACUUUAUAUUGGUUGUUCUUGAAAGUUUGUGUUUCUAAAUUAUUUUUGUUUGUUGAAAUCUAAGAGAAAGACCUACAUGCUUUGAGUCUUACAAAUGCACCUUAUUCAUGUUAGUCUGAGUGGAAAAAGGCUGGCUAUGUAAUAUCUCGGAUUUAGCACCUUACUACACAGCAUGUUUUCACUUUAUGCCAGUUUUGCUAUUCUUCCGUGCAUAUGAUUUCCAAAAUAAACCUUGUAUAUUUUGUGAAAAUGUUUAAAGGGAUGUGCCAAAGUUUGGAGGCGAUCUCCCGAGUUUUUAUGCUUAGUCUAUAAUUUUUUUCUUUCUUUCUCCUUCAGUUAUCACAAUGGUAUGUCAAACCUUUCCUAUUAAUGUGUGAAAGCAAGUUAUUUCAGCAAACAGUAUCAUUACCUGCCAUUUUACAGUAAGCCCUGUAUUUCACGUAUAUUUACCAGUGAUGUGUAUUUGUUAUUAUAAAGAAAAAUAGCCGUAAAGCUUCAUUAUGUUACAUAAUAUUGUGACUUUUUUCGAAAAACUGUGAAGACUUAUCUUGCAUAUACUUUAUACAGAAGUAUUAAGCCUUAAUACAAAAGACUAAAAAAAGUGUGGAAGAAUAAACUGAUUGUUGCUAAGUAAGGAUGAUUUUUGUAAAUGUUACCAGCACUUUUUUUGUAAUUUUCACUCUCUGAGGUAUUGUAAAAGUUCACGCUGUUUGUGAAGUUUGAUUAUGAAGGAAUAAAAACUAGUACUUUCCUGUACUUCACAGAAAGUAAUGUGG